rnacentral:ncRNA from 1 species
GACCCUAACCAGGGUGAUCUAUCCAUGACCAGGAUGAAUCUUGGGUCAAACUAAAAGGGGGUCCGAACCAACAGAUUUUGAAGAAUCAGCGCAUGAGUUGUGGUUAGGGGUGAAAUACAACUCGAACCCUGAGCUAGAUGG